rnacentral:rRNA from 1 species
AAUCAACGCUGGCGGCGUGCCUCAGACAUGCAAGUCGAACGCGAAAGUUUCCUUCGGGGAACAAGUAGAGUGGCGCACGGGUGAGUAACACGUAGGUAAUCUACCUUUGGAUGGGGAAUAACAACCGGAAACGGUUGCUAAUACCGCAUAAUGCAGCGGCACCUAAUGGUGACAGUUGUUAAAGCGGGGGAUCGAAAGACCUCGCGUCUGAAGAGGAGCCUGCGGCGGAUUAGCUAGUGGUAAGGUAAUGGCUUACCAAGGCGACGAUCCGUAACCGGCCUGAGAGGGCGGUCGGUCACACUGACACUGACAUACGGGUCAGACUCCUACGGGAGGCAGCAGUCGGGAAUUUUGGGCAAUGGGCGAAAGCCUGACCCAGCAACGCCGCGUGAAGGAUGAAAUCCCUCGGGAUGUAAACUUCGCAAGAACGGGAAGAAUAAGUAGGGGACAA